rnacentral:rRNA from 1 species
UACGUAGGUGGCAAGCGUUGUCCGGAUUUAUUGGGUUUAAAGGGUGCGUAGGCGGUCUAUUAAGUCAGUGGUGAAAUAUGGCAGCUUAACUGUCAAGGUGCCAUUGAUACUGAUGGACUUGAGUGAAGUCGAGGUUGGCGGAAUUGACGGUGUAGCGGUGAAAUGCUUAGAUAUCGUCAAGAACACCGAUAGUGAAGACAGCUUACCAAGCUUCAACUGACGCUGAGGCACGAAAGUGUGGGGAUCAAACAGG